rnacentral:misc_RNA from 1 species
AUUUCCUUCCCCGUCAAUAUCUCAUCUAUAACUCUCUUGUUGUUCUCUUCUUCUUCUGGUUCAUGUUGGUGUUGCCGUUGUUGGGGAUAUAUUUCAACUUCUCCCAGUAACUCCUCGCCUCUAUACACCGCUGAUUUAUACAUCUUUACCAAAACAAUCAAAACCCCUUUCUCAUCAAAACAAAAUCUCCGGUAUUUAGCUUCAAAGUUUCACCUUUUGAAUAUCACAAGACUUUCCAUCAAAAUCCAUCAUCAUCAUCAUCAUCAUCAAGAUUUAGAU